AGUCUACGUCUAAACGUUGCCGGCAGUUGCGUUGUAUUUUUCGCUUCUUCACGAAUGUGUCGCUUGUGGUCGCUUUCGCCUCUGGUGGUACGUGGUCGAUAACCUUUUCUUUGAAUUUGGGUUCCGUCUUCUCCGGCGGUGCGCUUGGAACGUACAAAGGAGCUGGUGCGACCGGUAGCUGUAAAUCGACCGGUUGUUCUCGCCUGCGGAGAGACACACCCAGGAUAUAUCCCAAUUUUUGUCCGGAGUUUAUAAUGACGUUUGAAUAACCACCGUGCUGCACGCAACACAGCUAGAGACGCAAGUGUAAAUGUUUUGAAAACGAGAUAGCAAACACUCCUAUGGACCCAAUUGGCAAUUCAGUCACUUUCAGAGCCACCGGCAAAGCUAGACUGUCCAUCAACUACCAACCAACUACACCCGCCACGGGGGUGCCCUGGCGCGCGCGCCCUGGCUGUUGAGGGUUUAUGAGCAGAUCUCAUCGAUGAUGAACGUCACGCCCUGAAUCACCAGUAAGUUUAGCGAGACAACCUAUAACUUAGCCGCUUGUUGUACAAGUAGUGGCGCGAGAGCGAUAUGUACCACCGCCACCACCACUCUCUUUUGCCUGUGCUGAAAUCCCCGCCCGGGUCCCAGGGAGUGAUCCGCUUCCAUAUCACGGGCUUUCUCCCGGAGGUUCCCGGAGGUUGUCCCAGUUACAAUGGCAACAAACGCAGAAUAUGAACAAAAAAAACUCCCCAUCCAGAGGAAGACCUCAUAACAUCACUUUCUCUUUGUUGCACAGGAUGGGUAUCCAGAUCCAGUGGUAAAUUGCCAUUUUGUGUUCAGUAUUGAGGUGCUGGGCGAUACUUUGCAUUUGUUUUUUUCUUUCUGUGUACAUGAAUAGUUAUGAACUACAUGAACUAAACUGCCUGUAGGACUAACUAUUGCAUCCUAGGUUAAAUCGCUAACCGUGGGACAAAAUGAAGGGAAGAACUACCUUGCCGUUUCAUUUGUUUUAUUCUGCUGUGUACUUAUGUUUCGGGGAUUCCUCAGAUUUAGAAGUAGCGGACUUCACUUGACAUGACUGAUAAUAAAUCACAUUCGUCCUAUUUUUCCAUACGGAGAAGUUACCAAUCAGCUAAGGAUGACUAAUGUCAAGAAAAAUUCUGAAAUAAUAGACCAAGAGAGAGGUCAUCAUGGAUUUUCUGUUCAAGAGUUGCAUAAUGAGAGAGUAGCUAGAGUAAUCCAUAGAAUGGAUCACUAGAGUCUCUGACUCUAUGCGGUCCGAUGACAAACUUCACACGGCAGGCCCGGGGACCAAAUCCUAUCCGGACCACCUAUCCGUGCCCAGGACUGACUAUCAAGCUACGGGAAAUAUCAAACUAGAACUCAGAAUUGGCAGGUCGACCUUUAGAGGUUGUAGUGUAGGAUUAUCGGCAUCAAAUGAUCUACUUUAGCUCGUUGAAUCUCAGCGAUUGGUGAUAAACAAUUGUAAAAAUACUUAUUCUAAAUGAAUGUUGAGAGUUCUUUGUGGUCCGUAAAAAAAUUGAUUAAGUUAACAAAUAAACAAAUUUGUAAGGAACGACCAAGCCGUCCCUAUCUAGUUUAAAAAAAAAACAAAUGCUCUAGCUGCCUUCCGUUCGCGGUGCUUCAAGCUCGUAACUCUACGCUUCUCCUAUUUCUUCAUUCUUAAAUUGAUACAUAAUUUAUAAAUGUUUGUAGUGAGUUAUGCCUAUAAAAGACCACUCUGACUCUGACGAUAAAUUAGAAUAUAUUCGAUAAAAUGAAUUUAAAAUACAUCUUUAAAAAUAAUCACUCAACAAAAUUAUCAGCAAAUUACACGUGUUUACAUUGCGGCGGUAAAUAAACAUGGUUUGCUAACCUCUGUCAA